UUCACUCUCCUCCACCACCAGUCCAAUCACCCCCACCACCAAUCCAUUCUCAUCCACCACCAGUGUACUCACCCCCACCACCUGUCCAUUCUCCUCCACCCCCAGUGCACUCACCCCCACCACCCGUCCAUUCACUUGCACCACCAGUAACACUCACCCCCACCACCUGUCCAUUCUCCUCCACCUUCAGAGUACUCACCCCCACCACCUGUCCAUUCUCCUCCACCCCCAGUGCACUCACCCCCACCACCCGUCCAUUCACCUGCACCACCAGUACACUCACCCCCAGCACCUGUCUACUUUCCUCCACCACCAGUCCACUCUCCUCCUCCACCGGUACACUCACCCCCACCACCAGUCCAUUCGCCUCCACCACCAGUGCACUCACCCCCACCACCUGUCCACUCUCCUCCACCACCCGUUCACUCUCCUCCACCACCAGUCCAUUCUCCUCCUCCACCUGUGCACUCACCCCCACCACCGGUCUACUCACCCCCACCACCUGUACACUCACCCCCACCACCAGUGCACUCGCCACCGCCACCAGCACCAGUCCACUCACCGCCACCUCCAAUCCAAUCAUCACCACCACCGGUACCGAUCCACUCAUCGCCAC
rnacentral:lncRNA from 1 species